rnacentral:rRNA from 1 species
UGGACUAAUACCGCAUAUACUCUUGCUACACAAGUAGAGGAGAGGAAAGGAGUAAUCCGCUUUACGAUGAGCCUGCGGCCUAUUAGCCUGUUGGUGGGGUAACGGCCUACCAAAGCUACGAUAGGUAGCCGACCUGAGAGGGUGACCGGCCACAUUGGGACUGAGAUACGGCCCAGACUCCUACGGGAGGCAGCAGCUGAGAAUCUUCCACAAUGGACGAAAGUCUGAUGGAGCGACAUCGCGUGAGGGAUGAAGGCCUUCGGGUUGUAAACCUCGGAAAUUAUCGAAGAAUGAGUGACAGUAGAUAAUGUAAGCCUCGGCUAACUACGUGCCAGCAGCCGCGGUAAUACGUAGGAGGCAAACGUUGCUCGGAUUUACUGGGCGUAAAGGGUGAGUAGGCGGACUUAUAAGUCUAAGGUGAAAGACCGGAGCUCAACUUCGGGAACGCCUCGGAUACUGUAAGUCUUGGAUAUUGUAGGGGAUGAUGGAAUUCUCGGUGUAGCGGUGGAAUGCGCAGAUAUCGAGAGGAACACCUAUAGCGAAGGCAGUCAUCUGGGCAUUUAUCGACGCUGAAUCACGAAAGCUAGGGGAGCAAACAGGCUUAGAUACCCUGGUAGUCCUAGCCGUAAACGUUGUACACUAGGUGCUUCUAUUUAAAUAGGAGUGCCGUAGCUAACGUCUUAAGUGUACCGCCUGAGGAGUAUGCCCGCAAGGGUGAAACUCAAAGAAAUUGACGGGUCCCCGCACAAGUGGUGGAGCAUGUGGUUUAAUUCGAUGAUACGCGAAAAACCUUACCUGGGUUUGAAUUGUAAGAUGAAUGAUUUAGAGAUAAGUCAGACCGCAAGGACGUUUUACAUAGGUGCUGCAUGGCUGUCGUCAGCUCGUGUCGUGAGAUGUUGGGUUAAGUCCCGCAACGAGCGCAACCCUCACCCUUUGUUGCUACCGAGUAAUGUCGGGCACUCUUAGGGGACUGCCUACGUUCAAGUAGGAGGAAGGUGGGGAUGAUGUCAAGUCCUCAUGGCCCUUAUGUCCAGGGCUACACACGUGCUACAAUGGCAAGUACAAAGAGAAGCGAGACCGCGAGGUGGAGCAAAACUCAAAAAAGUUGCCUCAGUUCGGAUUGGAGUCUGAAACUCGACUCCAUGAAGUUGGAAUCACUAGUAAUCGUAGAUCAGAACGCUACGG